GCCACCGAAGGAGACUUCCAGACGCUGGGUUUCCCAGCACCGAUGCCAAUCCACACUUACUGUCGUUGGAUCCUCGCUGGAGCUACGGGCCGACGCAUCACCGUCAAUUUCCUGGCGGGUGAUAUCUCCAACUGCGACAGCACACUGACGAUCGGAGACCAUAUAUUAGAACUGCAAGUUCCAUGCAACACUUCCUUCCCGUACGUGUACGAGUCCUUCUCCUCCCAACUCGUGGUAGCGGUGGUGCCUCCGAGACAAUCCACUGUGCACGGCUUCAGAGCUCACUACGACUCAGCGAAGGGGCUGCCAUGCUACCAGACCCGCGAAGAGCCAAGCGGUACGCUCGUUCCGACAGCAGAAGCUCUGCAAGCUAGACCUUCCAUGUGUACCUGGAGGUUCCUGCUCAAGCCCAAUGUCACUCUAGCUUACACAGUCGUUGGC